UACAGAGGGUCUCAAGCGUUGUUCGGAUUCAUUGGGCGUAAAGGGUGCGUAGGCGGCCAACUAAGUCAGGACGUGAAAUCCCUCGGCUUAACCGGGGAACUGCGUCUGAUACUGGAUGGGCUUGAGUUUGGGAGAGGGAUGCGGAAUUCCAGGUGUAGGCGGAUUGAAAUGCGUAGAUAUCUGGAGGAACACCGGUGGCGAAGGCGGCAUCCCUGGACCAACACUGACGCU
rnacentral:rRNA from 1 species